AUUGAACGCUGGCGGCAGGCCUAACACAUGCAAGUCGAGCGGAUGAAGGGAGCUUGCUCCUGGAUUCAGCGGCGGACGGGUGAGUAAUGCCUAGGAAUCUGCCUGGUAGUGGGGGAUAACGUCCGGAAACGGGCGCUAAUACCGCAUACGUCCUGAGGGAGGAAGUGGGGGAUCUUCGGACCUCACGCUAUCAGAUGAGCCUAGGUCGGAUUAGCUAGUUGGUGGGGUAAAGGCCUACCAAGGCGACGAUCCGUAACUGGUCUGAGAGGAUGAUCAGUCACACUGGAACUUGGACACGGUCCAGACUCCUACGGGAGGCAGCAGUGGGGAAUAUUGGACAAUGGGCGAAAGCCUGAUCCAGCCAUGCCGCGUGUGUGAAGAAGGUCUUCGGAUUGUAAAGCAGUUUAAGUUGGGAGGAAGGGCAGUAAGUUAAUACCUUGCUGUUUUGACGUUACCAACAGAAUAAGCACCGGCUAACUUCGUG
rnacentral:rRNA from 1 species